AUUGAACGCUGGCGGCAGGCCUAACACAUGCAAGUCGAACGAGUGGCGGACGGGUGAGUAAUGUCUGGGAAACUGCCCGAUGGAGGGGGAAAACUACUGGAAACGGUAGCUAAUACCGCAUACCAUCAGAUGUGCCCAGAUGGGAUUAGCUAGUAGGUGGGGUAACGGCUCACCUAUGCGACGAUCCCUAGCUGGUCUGAGAGGAUGACCAGCCACACUGGAACUGAGACACUGGCCAGUGUCCUACGGGAGGCAGCAGUGGGGAAUAUUGCACAAUGGGCGCAAGCCUGAUGCAGCCAUGCCGCGUGUAUGAAGAAGGCCUUCGGGGUGUAAAGUACGUUCAGCGUUGAGGCGUUACUCGCAGAAGAAGCACCGGCUAACUCCGUGCCAGCAGCCGCGGUAAUUC
rnacentral:rRNA from 1 species